AGUGGCGGACGGGUGAGUAACGCGUGAGAAUCUGCCUUGGGGUCGGGGACAACCACUGGAAACGGUGGCUAAUACCGGAUAAGCCGAUUGGUGAAAGAUUUAUUGCCCGAAGAGGAGCUCGCGUCUGAUUAGCUAGUUGGUGAGGUAAGAGCUCACCAAGGCAGCGAUCAGUAGCUGGUCUGAGAGGACGAUCAGCCACACUGGGACUGAGACACGGCCCAGACUCCUACGGGAGGCAGCAGUGGGGAAUUUUCCGCAAUGGGCGAAAGCCUGACGGAGCAAGACCGCGUGAGGGAGGAAGGCUCUUGGGUUGUAAACCUCUUUUCUCAGGGAAGAAGCCCUGACGGUACCUGAGGAAUCAGCCUCGGCUAACUCCGUGCCAGCAGCCGCGGUAAUACGGAGGAGGCAAGCGUUAUCCGGAAUUAUUGGGCGUAAAGCGUCCGCAGGUGGCGAUUCAAGUCUGCUGUCAAAGCACGGGGCUUAACUCCGUAAAGGCAGUGGAAACUGAAUAGCUAGAGUGCCGUAGGGGUAGAGGGAAUUCCCGGUGUAGCGGUGAAAUGCGUAGAGAUCGGGAAGAACAUCGGUGGCGAAAGCGCUCUACUGGACGGCAACUGACACUCAGGGACGAAAGCUAGGGGAGCGAAUGGGAUUAGAUACCCC
rnacentral:rRNA from 1 species